CCUACGGGUGGCUGCAGUGAGGAAUAUUGGUCAAUGGACGGAAGUCUGAACCAGCCAUGCCGCGUGCAGGAAGACGGCUCUAUGAGUUGUAAACUGCUUUUGUACAAGGGUAAACCUGAAUACGUGUAUUCAGCUGAAAGUACUGUACGAAUAAGGAUCGGCUAACUCCGUGCCAGCAGCCGCGGUAAUACGGAGGAUCCAAGCGUUAUCCGGAUUUAUUGGGUUUAAAGGGUGCGUAGGCGGAUUGAUAAGUUAGAGGUGAAAUGUCCGAGCUUAACUCGGGAACUGCCUCUAAUACUGUUGAUCUAGAGUGGGGGUGAGGUAUGCGGAAGGUGUGGUGUAGCGGUGAAAUGCUUAGAUAUCAUGCAGAACACCGAUUGCGAAGGAAGCUUACC
rnacentral:rRNA from 1 species